rnacentral:rRNA from 1 species
CAGAGGUCUCAAGCGUUGUUCGGAUUCAUUGGGCGUAAAGGGUGCGUAGGUGGCGCUGUAAGUCGGGUGUGAAAUUUCGGAGCUUAACUCCGAAACUGCAUUCGAUACUGCGGUGCUUGAGGACUGGAGAGGAGACUGGAAUUCAUGGUGUAGCAGUGAAAUGCGUAGAGAUCAUGAGGAAGACCAGUGGCGAAGGCGGGUCUCUGGACAGUUCCUGACACUGAGGCACGAAGGCCAGGGGAGCAAACGGG